rnacentral:tRNA from 1 species
UAGGCCAUAGUUUAAAAAAAAUUUCUGAUUUGCAUUCAGGGGACGUCCUUUAGGACUGGCUUAA